rnacentral:rRNA from 1 species
CACGUAGGGCGCAAGCGUUGUCCGGAAUUAUUGGGCGUAAAGAGCUCGUAGGUGGUUUGUUACGUCCGCUGUGAAAUCCUAGGGCUUAACCCUGGGCUUGCAGUGGAUACGGGCAGACUAGAGGUAGGUAGGGGAGAAUGGAAUUCCUGGUGUAGCGGUGAAAUGCGCAGAUAUCAGGAAGAACACCCGUGGCGAAAGCGGCUCUCUGGAACGGUACUGACGCUGAGACGCGAAAGCGUGGGGAGCGAACAGG